GGCUGACUAAACAAGGUUAUUUUGAAGUUCUUUGUGGUUCAUGUUAGCUAUCUAUCAGUAAUAGUACAACCUUGAUUUUUAUGUCGUUCAGGUUUACCUAACAUUCAGUAACAUUACUUUCCAUUGGAGACUUCUUACAGGAGGUGCUUAUAAAAUGAUGGUUGAACAUGUACAGAUUUUGGAUCACGAUCAUCUAUUUACCAGGCAUCAGUUAACUCAAGGCAUCGAUCAAAAUCUAGCAUUCUUUGUUGUGUGCACCAUGGAGAAGACAAAGAACAGAGAUUGUGUGAUAUAUCCGAUAGCGCAAUAUAAUUUUCUCUUGCAUAUUUAUAAUCUGCCAUUUGAAUGAUGUUUUCUAUGUUGUAGUCAAAUCAAGACAAUUUGCAACUUUGGUGUUGUGACGUUGGAGGCUGUGCUCAACAGCAAUGGGGGACUGUUCGUUGAUGCCCGACCCAUGAUGCCGGCGAAGGAAUGAGAGUCGACGAGGAGUGGACACCAUGGGUUUGUGAACGGGCGAAGCCUCCGUUGUCCGUUUGGUAAUGUCCGACGCAUCAGAGGCAUAGUAUGACUUGCCCCGAUUAUGAUGUCGUCUACAAACAUCCGACGGAGGGGAACCCGUCCCAGUUUCCAUCUUGAUGGUAAGUUCUCUAAUCUUCUAUCUCAUGGGAUGUGAUGUGGUUGCCUUCAUUUUGGCUUUUGACAAAGGGUUGAAAUUAGCUUAUGUGCUUCCGACAAUUAAAAUUCCAGUGAUAUUAUCAACCUUCAACGAGCAGUGACAACGAACUCCAUCCCCCCACACCACCACACCCAAAUGGCGUAGGAUAGACUGAUGUUUCAUGUGAUGUGCUUUAAGCCAUGUUUCAGCUUGUCUUGACCCAGCAUGUAUUUUUAGUUUCAGUUGUUGAGCUCUGCACUAUAAAACCGAGAAAUACCCAAGGCUUUUUACAGGUCAGGCAUGUUUACUAAAAUAUACAAUUUCUAAAUCAUUUCCAGCAAUAUGUGAGUUGUUUGCUUGCUCAACCUUACGCUGGGAUCAUGUCUACAGACUACAAAUAGAGGGAAGUUUGCAUGUGCCUUACUAGAGACAGAUGAACCAAUAAAAUGAUUGGAAAGGUUCUUCCCAAGCAAAAGGUAAGCUGAAUCUUGUACAGUUUACUUCAUAAUAUAUUUUGGUCAGUAUGUUGUUUAUUUUCUGAAAUUGAUACUCCAUUGUAGAUUACCUAUGAUGAAAAUUACAUUCUCUGCGGGCGCUGAUUCAGAUAUAUUACUAUGGGCAAAGGAAGUUCAAAAUUUAUCUCAAUCAAACAUGUGCAAAGGAAAAUUCAAAAUUUGUUAUGUCAGGAAAAGAUUCUUAAACCAGUGAAGUAUCUAGAGGGCUUAUUAGGACACGGCUCAUAUUGUUUGAUACUUUACCAUCUGGGGAUUAGGCUACCGGUGAACACGACAAUGCGGCUGUUGGUCACGGAUGCCGGGGGUGUGAGCGGGGUUGAGGAGCUCACAUGGUGCUAUACAUGACGACCUGCGAGUGGUGGCAGGAGGUGGCAUGCCUGCUGCUUGGCUGGAAGUCCGACAUGAACUCCCACGACCGACUGUAAGCAUGGUACGUACCCAAUCGUCAAACUUUCUUCUUUCACCUCCUUCUUAUGUAGAAAUUAAACUUCGCUGCACACCGGACAUUCCUACUUUCAGUCAGUCAUUUCUGCCCAUUCUGAUUGUUAAUACUAAGUGUACAUGUCACCCACAUUGGACCAGUCUAUUGCAUUUGAAUUACCUUGAUCUAUGGAAAUAGUUAUAUAGGCAUGCUACGUGCAAGUGCUUAUCUAGGCAAUCCAAAGUUCAGCCUGUAGUUUUAUGCACACCAUCCCAGUCAGCAAUAGAUGCAUGGUUGCCCAUGCGUUGCCACAGAACAAUCCUACAGUGGGGCAGUGCUAUCCUAAAGUGGGGAUGAGAGGAUUCAGCGGCUGCACCGGUGGCUUGUCUAUCUCCAGGAGAUGGAGCGCGCCGCCUCAUCGAUGUGGGAGCUGCAUUGCACUAACAGGGCACGAUGCCUCAUGGAUGCGGGAGCUGCAGUGCACUAUUUAAGAGUUCAAAAGCAUGAAGGAGGAAAUUACCUACAAGUGUUUAAGAUCACGAAGGAGGAUGUCAAAGUUUUCCAUUGUCAAGGACUUGUGAGCAAGUAGUAUAUGGACUUCACUCUGAUUCUAAUGAAAAAGUUGGCUAUCUGAUUCUAAAAAUAAGAGCAGAAAAUAAUAGAGAUGUAUCUACAUGUGUGUGCAUUAAAAUUCAUUUUUUUCUGUUAGUCGAGGUUAUAACCUUUCAAACUUUACUUAUCCAGGUUGUGAAGACCUUCCAGCAUUACCCCAGGAAGCUAACACAUCAGCUUGUGCCAUACGUGGUGUUUUCUUGUUGAUGAAUGUUGGUCUAGGUAAUUUCUUUGAUGAACCAUGUGACAAUUAAUAAAGUUAAUAAAGGACAGCAUACUCUUUUUGUCUGCCUUGAUCGCAGUGGGGCGGGGGUGAGGCGUUGGAGAGAGAGGCGGGGCAAUGGUGCAUGCGUGCAGUGCGUCUGGACGACAGAAUGCAUGAUCGAGUGAUCGGUGUGGUGGUUGGCGGUGCUUGGGCAUUGAUGUUCAAUUUGAGAGGAAGAAGAAAGAUUAGCUGCUGAUUUUGGGGUAAGAAGAGAGAUUGAGCGUGUUGUUGUUGUCGUGUGUGGUCUUGGGAGAGGAAUAAAAGAGAGUAGUAAAGAGCUGUAGAGAGAUAGCGAGGGAUUGAGAGGCUACUACUAUUUUUUAUUGUUGUCGAUGCACAAUGCUAUUUCUUAUUAUACUGGGGUAUUCAUCUUUGNNNN
rnacentral:lncRNA from 1 species